rnacentral:rRNA from 1 species
GCGUGCGCAGGCGGCCUGUCUAGCCCGGCGUGAAAGCCCCCGGCUCAACCGGGGAGGGUCGUCGGGGACGGGCAGGCUUGAGGACAGCAGGGGCUGGUGGAAUUCCCGGUGUAGUGGUGAAAUGCGUAGAGAUCGGGAGGAACACCUGUGGCGAAGGCGGCCAGCUGGGCUGGACCUGACGCUGAGGCACGAAGGCGUGGGGAGCGAACGGGAUUAGAUACCCCGGUAGUCCACGCAGUAAACGAUGCAGACUAGGCGUGGGGGGACUUGACCCCCUCCGUGCCGGAGCUAACGCGGGAAGUCUGCCGCCUGGGGAGUACGGCCGCAAGGCUAAAACUCAAAGGAAUUGACGGGGGCCCGCACAAGCGGCGGAGCGUGUUGUUUAAUUCGUCGCAACGCGAAGAACCUUACCAGGACUUGACAUGCACCUGCAGGGUCCGGGAAACCGGAUCGGCCUUCGAGGGUGGUGCACAGGUGCUGCAUGGCUGUCGUCAGCUCGUGUCGUGAGAUGUUGGGUUAAGUCCCGCAACGAGCGCAACCCUUGUGGUCAGUUGUGAUUUUCUGGCCAGACUGCCGGGGGCAAACCGGAGGAAGGUGGGGAUGAUGUCAAGUCAGCAUGGCCCUUACGUCCUGGGCAACAAACACGCUACAAUGGCGCGGACAGAGGGUCGCCAAGCGGUAACGCGGAGCGAAUCCCAGAAACCGCGUCUCAGUUCGGAUCGAGGGCUGCAACUCGCCCUCGUGAAGGUGGAGUCGCUAGUAACCGCAG